rnacentral:rRNA from 1 species
CACGUAGGGGGCGAGCGUUGUCCGGAUUUAUUGGGCGUAAAGAGCUCGUAGGCGGCUCGGUAAGUCGGGUGUGAAAACUCUAGGCUCAACCUAGAGACGCCACCCGAUACUGCUGUGGCUAGAGUCCGGUAGGGGAGCAUGGAAUUCCUGGUGUAGCGGUGGAAUGCGUAGAGAUCCGGAAGAACACCGGUGGCGAAGGCGGCCUGCUGGGCAGUAGCUGACGCUGAGGCGCGACAGCGUGGGGAGCAAACAGG